rnacentral:lncRNA from 1 species
GAGCGGCCCAUCUCAUCUUGGAAACGUUGGUUCAUCCGGUCGAAGGGGGCGGCGGCGGCGGCGGCGGCGGCGGCGACGGGGGCGACCUGGCCCGCCGCCUCUCCUCCGUCCUCCUCCGCCCUCCCGCAUUCCUCCAAUGGCGGCCGCAGCCGGGCUGAGGCCAGGAUUUCCGCUUCGGGAUCCUCCGCCGGUUCGUCUGCUCGCCGCCCGAUCAUCGGCGUCCUCGGCGGCGCCUCCCCCGUCUCCACGGUGGCCUUCCUGGAGAAGCUCGUGAGAUGGAGCUCCGAGAAACGGCAAGGAGGAGGAGGAGAAGGAGAAGGAGAGUACCUCCCCUUCAUCGUCUGCAGCGACCCGGCACUCAGCAGGAAGCUCUCACCCAGAGAAGCCAAGGGCUCUUCCCCCCCUCGUCUUCUCCGAUCCAGAAAAGAAACCCGCCUCGAUGUGGAUCGGGAGGGCGCCGUGGAGGGUCU